GUGGGGAAUAUUGGACAAUGGGCGAAAGCCUGAUCCAGCCAUGCCGCGUGAGUGAUGAAGGCCUUAGGGUUGUAAAGCUCUUUCAGUAGGGAAGAUAAUGACGGUACCUACAGAAGAAGCCCCGGCUAACUUCGUGCCAGCAGCCGCGGUAAUACGACGGGGGCUAGCGUUGUUCGGAUUUACUGGGCGUAAAGCGCACGUAGGCGGAUUGGUCAGUUAGAGGUGAAAUCCCGAAGCUCAACUUCGGAACUGCCUUUAAUACUGCCAGUCUCGAGUCCGGAAGAGGUGAGUGGAACUCCUAGUGUAGAGGUGGAAUUCGUAGAUAUUAGGAAGAACACCAGUGGCGAAGGCGGCUCACUGGUCCGGUACUGACGCUGAGGUGCGAAAGCGUGGGGAGCAAACAGGAUUAGAAACCCCAGUAGUCC
rnacentral:rRNA from 1 species